rfam:Glossina brevipalpis unplaced genomic scaffold Scaffold73, whole genome shotgun sequence.
GUGGGGGGUUAAGUACGUAGGCGCCAUGGAUGGCGAAUCGUGCAUGCUACUGGCACGGGCCGGUAGUAUCUAUGAAGAUUCCCACCUC